CGAUUACUCAGCCAUUUAUUUAUCGAUUUUGAUGAUUCUUUUUUUGUUUGAUAGCGUAUACUUCCGAGGUGGUCCCAUUAUCAUCAGAUCCUGGACCUAAUAACAAAUAUGGGGAAUAUACCCUUUCGACCAAAAACAAACAUCCAAAUUGAGAACCACCUCCUUUUUGGGAUUCGGUUAAAAAUAUUUGGUGACUUUAAAAUCAAUCAAUUAUUAUUAUUGUUUCUCAUCAUCAAAUAAGUACAUUACUUUGGUAGUUACAAAUUGCAUUAUAUUUCAGAACACCAGGCUUACCCUCCGCCGAAACAAAAAUCUUAGAAUUGUUGAGAAAUAAUA